rnacentral:snRNA from 1 species
UCACUCUUGUUUCUCUUCAGAUCGUAUAAAUCUUUCGCCUUUUACUAAAGAUUUCCGUGGAGAGGAACAACAAGAGUCACACCUAAUUUUUUGAUGCCCUGCUUAAAUGCGGGGCU